UAAUACGUAGGGGGCAAGCGUUGUCCGGAAUUAUUGGGCGUAAAGCGCGCGCAGGCGGUCUUUUAAGUCUGGUGUUUAAGUGCGGGGCUCAACCCCGUGACGCACUGGAAACUGGGAGACUUGAGUGCAGAAGAGGAGAGCGGAAUUCCACGUGUAGCGGUGAAAUGCGUAGAGAUGUGGAGGAACACCAGUGGCGAAGGCGGCUCUCUGGACUGUAACUGACGCUGAGGCGCGAAAGCGUGGGGAGCAAACAGGAUUAGAUACCCUGGUAGUCCACGCCGUAAACGAUGAGUGCUAGGUGUUGAGGGGGUCCACCCCUCGGUGCCGAAGUUAACACAUUAAGCACUCCGCCUGGGGAGUACGGUCGCAAGACUGAA
rnacentral:rRNA from 1 species